AGUAGGACUCCGUCUCCAAGGAAGUGUCCGGCUCGAAGGAGUCCUCCAAGGGAGUGUCCGGCUCUACGUACGUAUCUGGCUCUAAAUAAGUCCAACUCAAGACUUUGAGCUCUUUUAUCAAUGGCGAAGCUGAUCCAAUUAUCAACAUCCGAGUUAGAGUUCACAUCAGAAUGAAUUCAUAAACCCUUUAUAGUUGGAGCUCGAAGUGAUUGCAGAAUUCCGUUUACCCAAGUCCUAAAGUCAAGCCUUUCAGCAUCAUUCUCUCCUCCCAAAAUAGAAGGAGACAUCACAUUUACUUUAGCGGAAGCAUCAAAGUCCAGAAAGCCUCUAAAAUGCGUCCAAGAAAGUCUCCAUUUGCUUGAAAGGAUGCUGGUACGCACCGCUUCCUCCAAGGUCAAGCGAGAUAGAAUAUCUGCCAUGACUUCUUUUGGCAAUGAAGUGAUACGAUCGACCUUGGCAUCGGUUUCUUCUAUUUCAGGUUCAGGGUUACCCUGCAAGCAAAAGGGAAGGAACACAAUCUUUCUCAGGUUUCAUACUUGACAUUGCCAUGGCUAUGUACUCGUCAAAUUCGGACCAGGUAAGAUCAAUUUCAAACUUCAAGUGUUGAAUUUCAUAUUCACGAAUUUAAAACCAAAAGAUGUGAAAUUCGAAAAAAUUAAAAUCCAAAAAUACAAAUUUAAAUAUAAUGAUAAAUAAUUGGGAUUGGGAACACAAUACAUGCAAGCAAAUAAUCAGGUAAGACUAAGACUAACAAAUAGCAUUACAGCAUUAAUUAAGACCAAAAAGAAUAAAGUUGAUAUACAUAUACAGCAUACCGUUGUACUUAGGAUUGCCUUCCUCUUUUCCAUCUUGUUCAAACCAACAAUUUUAGGAAAAGAAAGCUGCCCUGAUCAUACACAGAUAGAACCUUCGGCCACAACCUCCUCAAUUUUCGCCUAUAAAUAUAAAGGAAUAAUCAACUUAUUGAUAUUCAAAGCAUAAUUAACAGCAAAAUCAUGCAAAAAGCGCUUACGAAGAAACUAUAUCUUUUUUUCUAAGUCUUUUUUUUCUACCAAUGCCAUACUAUAAGGAUGAAAUGUAUGUACCUUUCAAAUCAUUAAAACCCGAACAAAAAAAAAUUUCUAGCACAUAGCAGGAUUUCACAAUUCUAGAGCAGGAUUUCCCACUUCUUUGAAUUAAAAGUAAGGUGUCAGAAAAAGUUAUUCAAAUCAUGGAAAAUCAGAUAGAUUGUGCAUACCCUUAGGUAGUGAUUUGUAGCAUUAACCAUAGCAAUAUCUGUUUCCCAUAACAUAAGAAUUUUUAGUAACCCAAAUUCUUAAUGAACCUCUAAAGAACAAAUCAACUGAAAAUCUUGAUGUAUUAAUCUUGUUUCUAUUUUUUUUUUCUUUCAGGUGCAUUUUUCAAAUUCGUGUUCCACAUACUGUGCAGUAGCUAUUGUUAUCAUCUUCAAGUUGGUACCUGAGACAAAGGGCCAUGCCUUGAAAGAGAUUCAGGCUUUUAUAGAACAAAGAAUAGGAAAACCUGAUGAUGCUUGCAUGCUACAGGAAUAUGCAGAAUGUUUGUCUUGGUUUUAUGUCUAGAAUUGCAUU
rnacentral:lncRNA from 1 species